UGGUUUUUACCUCGCAUUUAAAGGAGACAUGAGGAUGGGUAAAGUGGCGUUGAAGGAAUAAGAAAUCAAUGAAUAGUAAAACCUGACUCGGCUGGAAGGGCAAGGAAAAAACAACAAUACAGGACAUUUCUGGAGAUUGUCCUAAUCCAGCAUCUUGGAGCCAAAUGAAUCGGCAGCUUCUUAUUCUGCUGGCAGGAUCAGCCAAUGCUCAUCCAGGCUCCUGGGAAGCGAGGUGUUUGGUUGUGUCACCUCCCCACGGCUUGGAGGGCACCACAUCCAGCUGGGAGCUG